UCAUGUGGCAAAUGGGCUGGUUGGGAAGCAAAGAGCUGCAAAGUGAAACUCUAUACACUGCAUGCAUGAAUGUUCAAUAAAUCCUUGAAGGGACUAAUGUAAUAAUUUCCUUCUUUUUAUCUUUUAUUUUGUGUAGACAGAAAUCCAAAUAGAGGUCCAAGGCAAAUCUUUCACCCUCCGACAAAUAAUAGAUGCUACUCGAAAUUUUAGCUACAAAAAGGAGAUUGGGAAGGGGCG
rnacentral:misc_RNA from 1 species